rnacentral:lncRNA from 1 species
GUCACAAUGCACUCUUGGUGAACGCCCCCGCGGAGGGCAGGGCAGCCUAAAGGAGAGGAGUCACAGGGCCUUAGCCAGGAGGCUCCAGGUCCUGUUCCUGGGGCAUCACCACUAACGAAGGCUGUGGUCCAAGGCUUCCCACCAAGUCUGGGAAAGGAAAUACAACAUGGCGGCAGGCUAAACGAGGAUCAGGAGUCCCUGUUCGGCCCUUCUCUUGCUUCACCCCCUCCUUGGAAGCAGGGCUUGGAGCUGGUUUCAUGCAACAUUCUUCCUCAGCUGAGAAUGCAGACCCUCCCCCACGACCAGUCCUUAUCAACAGCUGUCCAGGGUCUGGGGCAUAUCAUUAGGUGAAGCCUUGGGGCAGCUGUGCCUCUGGUCCUUGACCCUGCAUUUAUUUUAGAGAUUAAAGACCAGAGGGAGUGGGAAGAGAAGCAGACUCAGAGUCUGCACAUCAUCUCAGCCCCAUUGCACCAGGCGGCAGAGAAAAGCCUGAAAACCAGACGUCCUACUGGCCGCACAGCUCCUGCCUGAGCCUUCCCCCAUUGCGUGCUCGCCACAUUGAAGAGCGAAUAAAAUCGCCAGGUGUUUAACAAUCAUAACAGCUUUUAUUCAGCACUCAUUAU